CACAGCUGCUGAGAACUUCCAGAUGGAGCAUGACUGGAAGGACGAAUUUGAGGGCGAUGAAAUCUCCUACUACAACGCAAAGGACAAUCUGGAUGUAAAUGAGACGGAGGGAAGGAAAUUCAGGAUUCGACCAGACUUUAAAGAGGACCUGUCAU